CUACCAAGGCAAUGAUCUAUAGCUGAUCUGAGAGGAUGAUCAGCCACACUGGAACUGAGAUACGGUCCAGACUCCUACGGGAGGCAGCAGUGGGGAAUAUUGGACAAUGGGCGAAAGCCUGAUCCAGCCAUGCCGCAUGAGUGAAGAAGGCCUUCGGGUUGUAAAGCUCUUUUAGUGAGGAAGAUAAUGACGGUACUUACAGAAGAAGUCCUGGCUAACUCCGUGCCAGCAGCCGCGGUAAUACGGAAAGGGCUAGCGUUAUUCGGAAUCAUUGGGCGUAAAGGGCGCGUAUGCGGAUUAGUAAGUUAAAAGUGAAAUCCCAAGGCUCAACCUUGGAAUUGCUUUUAAAACUGCUAAUCUAGAGAUUGAAAGAGGAUAGAGGAAUUCCUAGUGUAGAGGUGAAAUUUGUAAAUAUUAGGAGGAACACCAGUGGCGAAGGCGUCUAUCUGGUUCAAAUC
rnacentral:rRNA from 1 species